rnacentral:rRNA from 1 species
GGCGGGACACGUGGUAUCCUGUCUGAAUAUGGGGGGACCAUCCUCCAAGGCUAAAUACUCCUGACUGACCGAUAGUGAACCAGUACCGUGAGGGAAAGGCGAAAAGAACCCCGGCGAGGGGAGUGAAAAAGAACCUGAAACCGUGUACGUACAAGCAGUGGGAGCACGCUUAGGCGUGUGACUGCGUACCUUUUGUAUAAUGGGUCAGCGACUUAUAUUCUGUAGCAAGGUUAACCGAAUAGGGGAGCCGAAGGGAAACCGAGUCUUAACUGGGCGUUAAGUUGCAGGGUAUAGACCCGAAACCCGGUGAUCUAGCCAUGGGCAGGUUGAAGGUUGGGUAACACUAACUGGAGGACCGAACCGACUAAUGUUGAAAAAUUAGCGGAUGACUUGUGGCUGGGGGUGAAAGGCCAAUCAAACCGGGAGAUAGCUGGUUCUCCCCGAAAGCUAUUUAGGUAGCGCCUCGUGAAUUCAUCUCCGGGGGUAGAGCACUGUUUCGGCAAGGGGGUCAUCCCGACUUACCAACCCGAUGCAAACUGCGAAUACCGGAGAAUGUUAUCACGGGAGACACACGGCGGGUGCUAACGUCCGUCGUGAAGAGGGAAACAACCCAGACCGCCAGCUAAGGUCCCAAAGUCAUGGUUAAGUGGGAAACGAUGUGGGAAGGCCCAGACAGCCAGGAUGUUGGCUUAGAAGCAGCCAUCAUUUAAAGAAAGCGUAAUAGCUCACUGGUCGAGUCGGCCUGCGCGGAAGAUGUAACGGGGCUAAACCAUGCACCGAAGCUGCGGCAGCGACGCUGAUGCGUUGUUGGGUAGGGGAGCGUUCUGUAAGCCUGUGAAGGUGUGCUGUGAGGCAUGCUGGAGGUAUCAGAAGUGCGAAUGCUGACAUAAGUAACGAUAAAGCGGGUGAAAAGCCCGCUCGCCGGAAGACCAAGGGUUCCUGUCCAACGUUAAUCGGGGCAGGGUGAGUCGACCCCUAAGGCGAGGCCGAAAGGCGUAGUCGAUGGGAAACAGGUUAAUAUUCCUGUACUUGGUGUUACUGCGAAGGGGGGACGGAGAAGGCUAUGUUGGCCGGGCGACGGUUGUCCCGGUUUAAGCGUGUAGGCUGGUUUUCCAGGCAAAUCCGGAAAAUCAAGGCUGAGGCGUGAUGACGAGGCACUACGGUGCUGAAGCAACAAAUGCCCUGCUUCCAGGAAAAGCCUCUAAGCAUCAGGUAACAUCAAAUCGUACCCCAAACCGACACAGGUGGUCAGGUAGAGAAUACCAAGGCGCUUGAGAGAACUCGGGUGAAGGAACUAGGCAAAAUGGUGCCGUAACUUCGGGAGAAGGCACGCUGAUAUGUAGGUGAAGCGACUUGCUCGUGGAGCUGAAAUCAGUCGAAGAUACCAGCUGGCUGCAACUGUUUAUUAAAAACACAGCACUGUGCAAACACGAAAGUGGACGUAUACGGUGUGACGCCUGCCCGGUGCCGGAAGGUUAAUUGAUGGGGUCAGCGCAAGCGAAGCUCUUGAUCGAAGCCCCGGUAAACGGCGGCCGUAACUAUAACGGUCCUAAGGUAGCGAAAUUCCUUGUCGGGUAAGUUCCGACCUGCACGAAUGGCGUAAUGAUGGCCAGGCUGUCUCCACCCGAGACUCAGUGAAAUUGAACUCGCUGUGAAGAUGCAGUGUACCCGCGGCAAGACGGAAAGACCCCGUGAACCUUUACUAUAGCUUGACACUGAACAUUGAGCCUUGAUGUGUAGGAUAGGUGGGAGGCUUUGAAGUGUGGACGCCAGUCUGCAUGGAGCCGGCCUUGAAAUACCACCCUUUAAUGUUUGAUGUUCUAACGUUGACCCGUGAUCCGGGUUGCGGACAGUGUCUGGUGGGUAGUUUGACUGGGGCGGUCUCCUCCUAAAGAGUAACGGAGGAGCACGAAGGUUGGCUAAUCCUGGUCGGACAUCAGGAGGUUAGUGCAAUGGCAUAAGCCAGCUUGACUGCGAGCGUGACGGCGCGAGCAGGUGCGAAAGCAGGUCAUAGUGAUCCGGUGGUUCUGAAUGGAAGGGCCAUCGCUCAACGGAUAAAAGGUACUCCGGGGAUAACAGGCUGAUACCGCCCAAGAGUUCAUAUCGACGGCGGUGUUUGGCACCUCGAUGUCGGCUCAUCACAUCCUGGGGCUGAAGUAGGUCCCAAGGGUAUGGCUGUUCGCCAUUUAAAGUGGUACGCGAGCUGGGUUUAGAACGUCGUGAGACAGUUCGGUCCCUAUCUGCCGUGGGCGCU